AACGAACGCUGGCGGCAUGCCUAACACAUGCAAGACGAACGAGACCUUCGGGUCUAGUGGCGCACGGGUGCGUAACGCGUGGGAACCUGCCCUUAGGUUCGGAAUAACUCCCCGAAAGGGGUGCUAAUACCGGAUAAUGUCUUCGGACCAAAGAUUUAUCGCCUUUGGAUGGGCCCGCGUUGGAUUAGCUAGUUGGUAGGGUAAAAGCCUACCAAGGCGACGAUCCAUAGCUGGUCUGAGAGGAUGAUCAGCCACACUGGGACUGAGACACGGCCCAGACUCCUACGGGAGGCAGCAGUGGGGAAUAUUGGACAAUGGGCGAAAGCCUGAUCCAGCAAUGCCGCGUGAGUGAUGAAGGCCUUAGGGUUGUAAAGCUCUUUUACCCGGGAUGAUAAUGACAGUACCGGGAGAAUAAGCUCCGACUAACUCCGUG
rnacentral:rRNA from 1 species